GCCUGGUUGGUUCAGUUGGUAGAGCCUGUGACUCUCGAUCUCAGGAUUGUAGGUUCAAGCCCUACAUUGGGCG